GGCUAACGCUGGCGGCGUGUCUUAGCCAUGCAAGUCGAGCGGACUUAUGGGGUAACUUAUAAGUCAGCGGCGGACGGCGGAGUAACACGUAGCUAACCUACCCUCUGGACGGGGGAUAACCUACCGAAAGGUGGGCUAAUACCCGAUGUAGUCAUCCUGUAUAGGGGUGAUGAAAGGUGGGCUUCUGUUUACAAGCUCAUGCUGGAGGAGGGGGCUGCGGCCUAUCAGGUAGUUGGUAGGGUAAUAGCCUACCAAGCCGAUGACGGGUAGCCGGCCUGAGAGGGUGACCGGCCCGAGGGGCACUGAGAUACGGGUCCCACUCCUACGGGAGGCAGCAGGCUAGAAAUUUGGGCAAUGGGGGAAACCCUGACCCAGUGGCGCCGCGUGCAGGAAGGAGCCCUUCGGGGUGUAAACUGCUGUCGUGUAGGGAGAAGGGUACUAAGGUGAACAAUCUUAGUACUUGACGGUACUACAGGAGGAAGCCCAGGCUAACCUCGUG
rnacentral:rRNA from 1 species